UUCCAGACUCCUACGGGAGGCAGCAGUGGGGAAUAUUGCACAAUGGGGGAAACCCUGAUGCAGCAACGCCGCGUGAGGGAAGACGGUCUUCGGAUUGUAAACCUCUGUCUUUGGGGAAGAAAAUGACGGUACCCAAAGAGGAAGCUCCGGCUAACUACGUGCCAGCAGCCGCGGUAAUACGUAGGGAGCAAGCGUUGUCCGGAAUUACUGGGCGUAAAGGGCGCGUAGGUGGGCGCUUAAGUCAGGUGUGAAAACUCCGGGCUCAACCUGGAGACUGCACUUGAAACUGGGUGUCUUGAGGGCAGGAGAGGAAAGUGGAAUUCCUAGUGUAGCGGUGAAAUGCGUAGAUAUUAGGAGGAACACCAGUGGCGAAGGCGACUUUCUGGACUGUACCUGGCGCUGAGGCGCGAAAGCGUGGGUAGCGAACGGGAUUAGAUACCCUCGUA
rnacentral:rRNA from 1 species